rnacentral:rRNA from 1 species
UACGGAGGGAGCUAGCGUUGUUCGGAAUUACUGGGCGUAAAGCGCGCGUAGGCGGCUUUGUAAGUUAGAGGUGAAAGCCUGGAGCUCAACUUCAGAAUUGCCUUUAAGACUGCAUCGCUUGAAUCCGGGAGAGGUGAGUGGAAUUCCGAGUGUAGAGGUGAAAUUCGUAGAUAUUCGGAAGAACGCCAGUGGCGAAGGCGGCUCACUGGACCGGCAUUGACGCUGAGGUGCGAAAGCGUGGGGAGCAAACAGG